rnacentral:rRNA from 1 species
GAUAAGGGGUGCCACCAUCAGGUGGCCGCAGAGAAUAGGCCCAAGCGACUGUUUACCCAAAACAUAGGUUUCUGCUAAGUCGCAAGACGAUGUAUAGUAGCUGACGCCUGCCCGGUGCUAGAACGUUACGGGUAGCUGUUAGAGCAAUCGAAGCAGUGAACUUAAUCCCCAGUAAACGGCGGCCGUAACUAUAACGGUCCUAAGGUAGCGAAAUUCCUUGUCGGGUAAGUUCAGACCCGCACGAAAGGCGUAACGAUUUGGGCACUGUCUCAACAACAGACACGGUGAAAUUGUAAUUCCGGUGACGAUGCCGGAUACCUGCGACAGGACGGAAGGAACACCUGGCGCUUUACAGUAGCUUGCCAUUGGGUGUUUGAACUCCAUGUGACGGCUAGGUGGGAGGACUUGAAACAAGGGCGCCAGUUUUUGCAGUUGCCUCCCUGGGAUAUCACCCCGGUAG